UGGCGGCGUGCCUAACACAUGCAAGUCGCACGAGAAAGGGGCUUCGGCUCUGAGUAAAGUGGCGCACGGGUGAGUAACACGUGACUAACCUACCCUCGAGUGGGGAAUAACCUAGAGAAAUCUGGGCUAAUACCGCAUAACACUUACGAGUCAAAGCAGCAAUGCGCUUGGGGAGGGGGUCGCGGCAGAUUAGCUAGUUGGCGGGGUAAUGGCCCACCAAGGCGAUGAUCUGUAUCCGGCCUGAGAGGGCGCACGGACACACUGGAACUGAAACACGGUCCAGACUCCUACGGGAGGCAGCAGUGGGGAAUUUUGCGCAAUGGGGGAAACCCUGACGCAGCAACGCCGCGUGGAGGAUGAAAUCCCUUGGGAUGUAAACUCCUUUCGAUCGGGAAGAUAAUGACGGUACCGAGAGAAGAAGCCCCGGCUAACUUCGUGCCAGCAGCCGCGGUAAUACGAGGGGGGCAAGCGUUGUUCGGAAUUAUUGGGCGUAAAGGGUGCGUAGGCGGUUUGACAAGUCUUAUGUGAAAUCUCUGGGCUCAACCCAGAGUCUGCAUGGGAAACUGUCGAGCUUGAGUAUGGGAGA
rnacentral:rRNA from 1 species